rnacentral:miRNA from 1 species
GGGUGGAGGAGCGGUCU